rnacentral:rRNA from 1 species
CCUACGGGGGGCAGCAGUGGGGAAUAUUGGACAAUGGGGGGAACCCUGAUCCAGCCAUGCCGCGUGUGUGAAGAAGGCCCUCGGGUUGUAAAGCACUUUCAGUGAGCAAGAACGCCUGGUGGUUAAUACCCAUCAGGAAAGACAUCACUCACAGAAGAAGCACCGGCUAACUCCGUGCCAGCAGCCGCGGUAAUACGGAGGGUGCGAGCGUUAAUCGGAAUUACUGGGCGUAAAGCGCGCGUAGGUGGCUUGAUAAGCCGGUUGUGAAAGCCCCGGGCUCAACCUGGGAACGGCAUCCGGAACUGUCAAGCUAGAGUGCAGGAGAGGAAGGUAGAAUUCCCGGUGUAGCGGUGAAAUGCGUAGAGAUCGGGAGGAAUACCAGUGGCGAAGGCGGCCUUCUGGACUGACACUGACACUGAGGUGCGAAAGCGUGGGUAGCAAACAGGAUUAGAUACCCCAGUAGUC